rnacentral:rRNA from 1 species
UACGUAGGGUGCGAGCGUUGUCCGGAAUUACUGGGCGUAAAGAGCUCGUAGGCGGUCUGUCGCGUCGGCUGUGAAAACCUGGGGCUUAACUCCGGGCCUGCAGCCGAUACGGGCGGACUAGAGUUCGGCAGGGGAGACUGGAAUUCCUGGUGUAGCGGUGAAAUGCGCAGAUAUCAGGAGGAACACCGGUGGCGAAGGCGGGUCUCUGGGCCGAUACUGACGCUGAGGAGCGAAAGCGUGGGGAGCGAACAGG